rnacentral:rRNA from 14 species
GACGGAAUGGGCGCCACCGACCCGUCUAGUAACACGGACCAAGGAGUCUGACACGUGUGCGAGUACCCGGGUGGCAAGCCCGCGUGCGCAAUGAAAGUGAAGGGCAUGCCCUGCCAACCGACCUUGACCUGCUGUGAGGGGUUUGAGUGGAGCACAUCUGUCGGGACCCGAAAGAUGGUGAACUAUGCCUGAGGAGGGUGAAGCCAGAGGAAACUCUGGUGGAGGCUCGUAGCGAUACUGACGUGCAAAUCGUUCGUCGAACUUGGGUAUAGGGGCGAAAGACUAAUCGAACCAUCUAGUAGCUGGUUCCCUCCGAAGUUUCCCACAGGAUAGCUUGAACGCAACGGUUUUGUCAGGUAAAGCGAAUGAUUAGAGGCCUUGGGGCUGAAACAGCCUUAACCUAUUCUCAAACUUUAAAUGGGCAAGAGGCGCGGGAUGCUUGAGUGAUCCCGUGCGGCGAACGGCGCGUUCAAAGUGGGCCAUUUUUGGUAAGCAGAACUGGCGAUGCGGGAUGAACCGAACGCCGCGCUAAGGUACCCAAGUGUCCGCUCAUCAGAUACCACAAAAGGCGUUGGUACCUCCAGACAGCAGGACGGUGGCCAUGGAAGUCGGAACCCGCUAAGGAGUGUGUAACAACUCACCUGCCGAAGGUACUAGCCCUGAAAAUGGAUGGCGCUCAAGCGGACCACCGAUGCGCGGCCGCCGGCGCGAGCGCGAGGCGCCGGCGAGUAGGAGGGCGCGGAGCUCGCGGCGCAGCCUUGGGCGUGAGCCUGGGUGAAGCGGGCUCCGGUGCAGAUCUUGGUGGUAGUAGCAAAUAUUCAAAUGAGAACUUUGAAGACUGAAGUGGAGAAAGGUUCCAUGUGAACAGCAGUUGGACAUGGGUGAGCCGACCCUAAGAGACAGGAAAACUCCGCCGAACGCGGCCGCUUCCGUCGGCCCGUCCGUCGAAAGGGAAUCGGGUUAAUAUUCCCGAGCCAGUGCGUGGAUGGUGGGCGGCAACGCGAACGAACCCGGAGACGCCGGCGGGAGCCCUGGGAAGAGUUCUCUUUUCUUCUUAACUGCCUCUUGCCCUGGAAUCGGUUUGGCCGGAGCGAGGGCUACACGGCAGGCAAAGCACCUUAAGUCUUGAGGUGUCCGGCGCGCUCCCGACGGCCCGUGAAAAUCCGGGGGAGCGGUUCGUUCUCACGCCUGGUCGUACUCAUAACCGCAUCAGGUCUCCAAGGUGAACAGCCUCUAGUCGAUAGAGCAAUGUAGGUAAGGGAAGUCGGCAAAAUGGUUCCGCAACCUCGGGAGAAGGAAUGGCUCUGAAGGCUGGGCCCAGGGGUCCUAGGUCCGAGGCCCA